UAAAUUUUGAAGCUAUAGAGUCUAACAACCCUCCAGAAAAAGAAUUGACCGAAUCGGUAGAAUCAUAUGGAUUCACGUGAUUUACUAUAGAAUCAUAAGAUUUAGUCAAGAUUCAGGUAUAUUUGAGAUUGAACGUAUAGAUUUGAAAAUGAGGAUUCGAAUCAAAUUGUAAGAUUCAUAUGGAGAAUCGUAAGAUUCUAACAACAG
rnacentral:misc_RNA from 1 species